UAAAUACUCCCUCGUCCGAAAAUAGUUAUCACAGGAAUGGAUGCAUUUAAAUAUAUUUUAGUUCUAGAUACAUCUAUUUUUAUAAAUUCGCGCGACAAGUAUUUUUGAAUGGAGGGAGUAUAAU
rfam:Hordeum vulgare subsp. vulgare, WGS project CAJW01000000 data, contig: morex_contig_1621919